UACGUAGGGGGCAAGCGUUGUCCGGAUUCAUUGGGCGUAAAGAGCUCGUAGGCGGUUCGGCAAGUCGGGUGUGAAACGUCCAGGCUCAACCUGGAGACGCCACCCGAUGACUGCUGUGACUUGAGUCCGGUAGGGACCACGGAAUUCCUGGUGUAGCGGUGAAAUGCGCAGACGUAGUCAGGAGGAACACCGGUGGCGAAGGCGCCCACCUGGCCUGCUG
rnacentral:rRNA from 1 species